GUGCUCACUUUGGCAGCACAUGCACUAAAAUUGGAAUAAUACAGAGGAUCUUAGCACGGCCCCUGCACGAGAGAGAGAGAGAGAGAGAGAGAGAGAGAGAGAGAGAGA